rnacentral:tRNA from 2 species
GCCGCGUUCGUCUAGUGGCCUAGGACACCUGGUUUUCAGCCAGGGAAUCAGGGGUUCGACUCCCCUACGCGGUACAA